CACGGCCCAGACUCCUACGGGAGGCAGCAGUGGGGAAUAUUGCACAAUGGAGGAAACUCUGAUGCAGCGACGCCGCGUGAGUGAAGAAGUAGUUCGCUAUGUAAAGCUCUAUCAGCAGGGAAGAUAGUGACGGUACCUGACUAAGAAGCUCCGGCUAAAUACGUGCCAGCAGCCGCGGUAAUACGUAUGGAGCAAGCGUUAUCCGGAUUUACUGGGUGUAAAGGGAGUGUAGGUGGCCAGGCAAGUCAGAAGUGAAAGCCCGGGGCUCAACCCCGGGACUGCUUUUGAAACUGCAGGGCUAGAGUGCAGGAGGGGCAAGUGGAAUUCCUAGUGUAGCGGUGAAAUGCGUAGAUAUUAGGAGGAACACCAGUGGCGAAGGCGGCUUGCUGGACUGUAACUGACACUGAGGCUCGAAAGCGUGGGGAGCAAACAGGAUUAGAUACCCUGGUAGUCCACGCCGUAAAC
rnacentral:rRNA from 1 species